rnacentral:rRNA from 1 species
GACGAACCGAGCGAACGUUAUUCGGAAUCACUGGGCUUAAAGGGCGCGUAGGCGGGUGGUCAAGUCCGGGGUGAAAGCCUCCAGCUUAACUGGAGAAGUGCCUCGGAUACUGAUCGUCUCGAGGGAGAUAGGGGCGUGCGGAACUUCCGGUGGAGCGGUGAAAUGCGUAGAUAUCGGAAGGAACACCGGUGGCGAAAGCGGCGCGCUGGAUCUCUUCUGACGCUGAGGCGCGAAAGCCAGGGGAGCGAACGGG